UCUUUUUUUUCCUGACCCGAUCCAACUCUAACGGCCCAACCAUUCCAGUCGCCGACCUAGCCCAGUCCCCAUCACCCUUUUCCCCUUAACCCAAUACCAUAACAACAACAACCAACCCUUUCCUUACAAUUUCCACCGCUCCGUCCCAAACACUCCGACCCACUUCGGCCCACCAUCAAUAACCUUUGUAUCUCAUUCAGUAAAAUAAUACGCACAAUAUAGCAAACAUCUACAAUAGCCAUUUCAGCAUCAACAAUAUUCAGUAGCAACGACCAAAUCAACAUCAACGUUCAAACCCACCAACAACCGUUUCAACCCGACAACAACCCAGAAUUCGACAAACCGACCCAUCAACAACCCGAUAUGGACACCCAACCCUCGUUUGAACUUCAAAUGUCAAAUUUGUACAAACGAUUUAAAUUUAAAUUUUUGUACUAAUUAGUACUAAAUUCGUACAAAAUCCAGCUCAUCCCUUUUGUCCUCUUAUUUCAAAUUUAAAAUCUCUCAUGAAUAAUGCCAAUUUGCCCUUUUGAUUUGCUUAUCCCACAUCAGUUGGGAAUUCAAAGAAGACCCUCAAAUCCUUUCUAUAUAAAGACUUCUUUGGAGCAAAAUGGGACAAGUCUUAAAGGUUGAAGAAACUUUUGAGCAAAGAAGUCUCAUUUUUUAGUAUAGAAUUUUUUUCGUGAAAGUCGUCGAUUAUUGAAAAUACUCAGAGUCGUAGUGAAACUUUUCGGUAGUGGUUACGAUAACAUCGAAAGCUCGAGUUUCAUUUUGAUGCUCCGAAGCAGGUCGCCUCUUUCAAGGUUUUCAACCUAGCGGACCCCUUUUUUAAUCCGUACAUAAUUUAUACUCUUGCGGGCAAGGAGUGGACAUGUAGUUUAUAUUUGUGCCUUAAAGAGGCAUCUUCCUUCAAGGAUGUACUUCUUCAAGAACUUGAUGUUGAUAGGACCAAUUUUCACUCCAUCUGCAUCGACAAGCUUGUAAACGCUAUUUGAAUAUACUUCUUAUAUGACAUAUGGCCCAUCCCACUUUGGGGUGAAUUUACCCUUAGACUGAUGAGAAGUGAUAAUGGAUCUUCUUACUGCAAAUACUUGAUCUCCAACUUGGAAGCACCUCAAGCAAACUCUUCUGUUGAAAGAACGAGAUAGACGGGCUUGGUAACAUUCAAGAUUUUUUUGAGCCUCUAACCUCUUCUCAUCAAGAGCUUUUAACUCCACAAAACGCAACUUAACAUUUUCUUUAUCAGUGAUCCCUUCUUGAAUAGCCAGUCUCAAAGAAAGUAUUUGACGCUCAAGUGUCAGGACUGCUUCAACUCUAAAAAUAAGUGAAUAUGGGGUUGCUCGUGCUUGUGUGCGGUAAGUUGUUCUAUAUGUCCACAAAGCUUAUUUCAUUCGUUCAUGCCAGUCUCAUUUGGACUUGGAGAUGAAUUUCUUUAACAGAUUGCAUAAAGUCUUAUUAAAUGCUUCAGCUAGACCAUUGGCGACAACAUGGUACAUAGAAGACUUGUGCUGCUUGAAACCAAAGAGAUCAAAAAUCUUAUUCAUCAGCUUAUUAUCAAAUGGCUUGCCAUUGUAGGUUAUUAUAUAUUGAGGGAUUCCAAAGCGUUAGAUGAUAUUCACUCGAAUGAAAUUUACAACAUUCUCCUUCUUUACAUCUUUGAGAGCAAUAGCUUUGCCCUAUUUUGAAAAAUAAUGCUUUGCCCUAUUUUGAAAAAUAAUCUUUCGAGGCCAAGAUGUAUAAGUAUCCAUCAGAAGAUUUUGGUAGUGGCCCAACAACAUCCAUUCCCCAAGCAUUGAAUGGACAGGAUGCUACAGUUGGGCGUAAUACUUUAGGAGGUUGAUGUAUAAAACUCGCAUGGAAUUGACAAGCUUUGCAUCUUCUAGCAUAGUCCAAGCAAUAUUUCACCAUCGUUGGCCAAUAGUAUGCUAUUCUUUUAAUGUGAAAAUAGAGCUUCGGUCCAGACUGAUGCGAUCCACAAACUCCCAAGUGCGCUUCUUGCAAAGCUUGAAUUUCUUCUUCCUCUCCCAAAUAUCGCAAGAGUACUCCGUCAAACAAUCUUCUGUAUAACGUGUCUUUAUAGUAAAAGAAGCGAGGUGCACGACGACGAAUGUCAGUCCUUCUUCUUGGAUCUUCUGGAAGUAUUUCAUAACACAGGUAGUGGGUGCCGGAGCACCCCAAAAUUAUACAUGGGUCCGCCCCUGCACUAAUCUAUUACCACAUGGGCAGAGUUGACAACAACGUUCUUAGAGAGGUUUUACCCACCAUUCUGAAUGAUACAGCUGCGAGAUGAGAUAAACAAGUUCAAGCAAUUACUAGGAGAAGCCUUACGUGAAGCAUGACUGAGAUUUGAGAAGAUUAAGCAGUGUUCAUGGAUCGCUCGAUGAGGUACUUCUACAGGUUUCUAGAUGGGCUGAACACUGACUUUGAUGGACCACUCUUUUGCUGUCACAAGUGAGCUCUUGGACAAGAAGACUAAGAAUCAACAGAGCGUGGCACACUUGGGAAUCAUAGGGAAUCAUAAGUUGUCAGUGGUAGUGCCUACAAAGGGCAGGAACAACUAAAGAAAGAAGAGGAAUGUGACCAGGACAUGGCUCAGCUGAAAAUCCAAAUAGAUCUGAUCUUAGUUGCACGGAUGCGGAUCCAAAUGUUGGAUCCUUCAUGAUUGUUAAGAUUCGGGUAUAUGGAUCUAGAUAUGGAUAGGGGAGCGGGACUCCGCAAAAUAAAACUAAAAAUACAAAACAUAGCUAUAGAAAUAUGCAUAAUAUGAGACAUUGUGGAAACCUUAAAUGUAUCAUGUGCCUU